rnacentral:rRNA from 1 species
AUUGAACGCUGGCGGCAUGCUUUACACAUGCAAGUCGAACGGUAACAGGCCUUCGGGUGCUGACGAGUGGCGAACGGGUGAGUAAUGCAUCAGAACGUACCCAGAGGUGGGGGAUAACGCAGCGAAAGCUGUGCUAAUACCGCAUGUGAUCUGAGGAUGAAAGCGGGGGACCGAGCAGCAAUGUUUGGCCUCGCGCCUUUGGAGCGGCCGAUGUCGGAUUAGCUAGUUGGUGGGGUAAAGGCCUACCAAGGCGACGAUCCGUAGCUGGUCUGAGAGGACGACCAGCCACACUGGGACUGAGACACGGCCCAGACUCCUACGGGAGGCAGCAGUGGGGAAUUUUGGACAAUGGGCGCAAGCCUGAUCCAGCAAUGCCGCGUGCGGGAAGAAGGCCUUCGGGUUGUAAACCGCUUUUGGCAGGAACGAAACGGUGUCCGCUAAUACCGGGCGCUAAUGACGGUACCUGCAGAAUAAGCACCGGCUAACUACGUG